UAGGGAAUAUUGGACAAUGGGUGAGAGCCUGAUCCAGCCAUGCCGCGUGCAGGAAGAAGGCGUUAUGCGUUGUAAACUGCUUUUUGCCAGGGGAUAAAAAGACCGUGCGCGGUUAAUUGAAGGUACCUGGUGAAUAAGCCACGGCUAACUACGUGCCAGCAGCCGCGGUAAUACGUAGGUGGCAAGCGUUGUCCGGAUUUAUUGGGUUUAAAGGGUGCGUAGGUGGCCCUGUAAGUCAGUGGUGAAAUAUCUCAGCUUAACUGAGAGGGUGCCAUUGAUACUGCAGGGCUUGAGUACAGAUGAGGUAGGCGGAAUUGACGGUGUAGCGGUGAAAUGCAUAGAU
rnacentral:rRNA from 1 species